rnacentral:lncRNA from 1 species
AUCAUCUUGUCCAGAUUCAGUCACUUCCUUACCUUAUCCCUCUUCUUCCUCCCUCUUUCUUUCUCUAUCACCAAGUACACCUUGUCCAGACUCAGCCUCUCCGACGAACCCUAUACGUUAGUCUACAUCGAAGAUCAUUCAAACCAACAAAAACAUGUAACUUAUUAUCUCUUCUACACCCUACUCAUUCAUGUUCUCGCUCUAUGUGCCAUAGGCACGAUCACCUACAGCACACACCAUGCUUUCUUCGGUAAGCCGGUCAAGAUCGUCGACGCCCUCAAGUCCCUAACCUUCUCCUUCUUCCGGAUUGCUUCCACUAUAAUCGCAGCUUACAUUCUUGUGGUUAUGAUCUCCCUAAGUGUCAUCCUUUUUGUUGCAACAGUUAUCAUGUUGUGGUUGUUGUCGAAUCGAAAUGGGGAUUUGCGCCUUUGAUCAGGAGCUCGUAUUUAGCUAAGGGGAUGAGAUCGGUUUCGAGGCUUUGCAUGGUGAACUUGAACUUGAGGCUGUUGAGGGGUUUGGCCACGACUACAUGAAUUUGCCAUCGGAUCUUGUGAAGGUUCCUCACAUUGUAAGUGUUGUCACAGCUUGAAAUUUGCCUAUUUCAAUUCGCAUAAAUAAGUGUCUUGAACCCAAGACCUCCCCCUCUCAAACCCAGAUGUUUAAAGGCUUUGCCUUUUGCCAAUUGACCACCACCCCAUUGUUAAUCUUAAUUACUUGAUCCGUGAAAUUCUUUCAAGACAUAUAUAUUGAAUGCAUUGUCAUGAAGCAUGUAAAUGAUUCAAUCUUGCGCUGUAUAUUGAAUGCAUUGUAAUGAAGCAUAUAAAU